CCGACAAGAAGUGUUUGCAUUAAUGCCAAGCGGUGUCUUGAAAUCACACUCGGAUUAAUUCUGAUCAGUACUGGCGCAUGGUCAGGUGGCUAUACGUAUUUAAAACACAUAACUAGGUAGGCUAAGCCUUGGUAAGUCUUUUAUGCAAUGCAAAAACGCUUUUAAAAAAGAGAAUUAAGGAGGAUUCUAGACCACAGAGUAUUACUACUGGAUCAUGAGUUCAGCGUGCUCUGAAAGAGGGAAAAAAGAACACUUGUCUCUCUUGGUCCAGUCUUCUGGGAGGAAAAUUCUCAGAGCAACCCAAACUGGGAAGAUGAGGUUAGAAUUUUUGCCCUGCACAAGAUGUCCCAGGUGUCUCUGCGGUGAAUCUGAAGUGUCAGGCCUUUUCCCUUGGGCGACUUGUUUUUUCUUUUAUAAACGACUGGCGACAUUGCCUAACUUUAAAACCGUUUUAAUU